UACGUAGGCAGCAAGCGUUGUUCGGAGUUACUGGGCGUAAAGAGUGCGUAGGCGGUCAGUGCAAGUCAGUUGUGAAAUCUCCGGGCUUAACUCGGAAAGGUCAACUGAUACUGCUCGACUAGAGUGCGGAAGGGGCAACUGGAAUUCUUGGUGUAGCGGUGAAAUGCGUAGAUAUCAAGAGGAACACCUGCGGCGAAGGCGGGUUGCUGGGCCGACACUGACGCUGAUGCGCGAAAGCUAGGGGAGCGAACGGG
rnacentral:rRNA from 1 species